GUCAUCCCAAGAGGCACCGAAGCAGAAGUCCUAGCUGCAUUCAACAAACAAGAGGACCGAAUCCAGUUCACCAUUGAAGUGGAGGAUAACAACAGACUAGCGUACCUGGACACGCUAGUUGUGAGAAACGGCAACCAACUCUCUACAAAAUGGUACAGCAAGGAAAUAGCUUCUGGUAGAAUGCUCAACUACCAUUCAUUCCACCAAAUCAGGCAAAAAAUCAAUGUGGCAAACAACCUGAUUCACCGCGUCAAGGGUUUGACAUCUGAUUCACAAAAUCAAGAUCAGGUGAAUCAAACCAUUCAUGAGCAACUGAACAUCAACAACUAUCCGAGAACACUCGUCAACAGACUGUUAAACAGAUACAAAAACACACGAAGACCGUCAGACCCCAACACCACCAACCAGUCACCCCCAAACCACCCACCAUCGUCUACCCAAUCGCCCACCAGCCGACCAUCCGCCAGCCAACCGCCCCCCAGCCGACCAUCUGCCAGCCAACCACCCCCCAGCCGACAAUCCGCCAGCCAGCCGCCCACUCACCGACCAUCUGCCAGUGUUACACCCACCCACCAACCAUCUGUAACCACCGCAGCACCCAAUCAGCUGCCCACAUCUAGCACCAUGCAAUUGUCUUCACACUCGAACUCCAACCAACAAUCAGCUACCGAUCAAAACAGCUAUCCAAGAGACUCCAACAGUUCCCCGACAUCCUAUGCACAACAGAACAAUCCAGCAUCGUCGUUUCCAAUCCACGAAGCGCCGAACACUGCAGCAUCAGCGACCAGAAAUAAUCACCCACGCAUCGAAGAUCCAGGUACCUACAAUAGCACAAAUUUAGAAAAUAAUCAAAUAGUACACCAAGCAUCACCAAACACCGCCGCAGAGGAAGAUGGCCACAGAACGAAUAACAUCCAAUACAGAUCGUUCACAUACAUCCCCGGACUCACUGAACAACUCACGAAGACCAUUUCAACCGAUUAUCCACACAUACGACUAGCCAAUAGACAAAACCACAAGAUAGGUAACCUACACACGAAAAUCAAAGAUCCCAAAAACAAACUCGAUCAAAACAAUGUCAUCUACAAUAUACCAUGCAAUGAUUGUCAAAAAUGUUAUAUAGGUAUGACACAGAAUAAGCUAUGUACUAGACUAACAGGACACAAAACACACGUAAACAAAUUGGAGCAGUAUCUCCAAUACGUGGACAACAGAAUGCAAUUAGAAGAGCUCAAAAGCAAAACAGCUCUAAUAGAACAUUGCAUAGAACACGAACACAGGUUUAAUUUUGAAAACACCAAAAUAGUCGAUAGAAGCCCACAUACCAACACCUUAGCAUUCCUAGAAAUGUGCCACAUAUACAACACAGAUAACACUGUCAAUAGAAGAGUAGAUGUAAGUGGACUAAACACAACGUAUGCUGCCAUACUCCAUACAAUCAAAGCCCGUACAAACAAUCCCCAAUUACCAUUUACGCCCAAUAGAACGAUACAAAAUAGCCAAGACACAAACCACACCAACAGUCAAAUCUAAAAAACUGCCUAAUUGAAUACUCCAGUACAGUGCCAACAAAAUAAGUGAAAUUAAUUUUCAAAAAACCCAACGUAAGUUUGUAGAACAAUUAUUAUACCACACGAACUAAUUUAAAUUUAACUUUAGCACAUGUACCGACUACCAAAAAAUUCCAAUCAGACAUUCCGCUUAGCAAAGACUAUAGACACAGAACGAACCAAAUGAUUUUUCCCCUGAAGAUGGCAAUAAACAUUGCCGAAACGUAGGGACGAAUUAAACCCGUUGUCGUUCCAAGGAGUUUGGAGACUGCAUAGCCGAGAAUUCCAACAU